rnacentral:lncRNA from 1 species
CUGAGGGCUCGAGAGCUUCACAGUAAGCUCGAUGAUGAAUUACAUCCUGAGUCGAGCAAGUGGGACAGACAGGUCCCAUAGCCAAGGGACAAAGCCUGGACCUGUUCUUCGUCACCUAGCACCAGCUGGAAUCCCUUGUCGCCAAGCUGGCAGCUGUGAGGGAUCACUUGGCCACCAGGAAACCUUCCCAGCUGGGACCUUUGGGAGAGUCUGUGCCAGAGAAACGACAUCUCAUUGCUCCUCUCCAGGAGCUGUUCGUAUGAAUCUACAUGGACAUCUCUCUCUCUCCGCUGACCCAUUCCAGCCCCAACCCCACCAUCCUCCAAGGCGGAAGUGUUAAUUAGUGGGGAUAGUACCUGGUUCAAGCUGUCACAAUGUGCGGUGAAGACAGAAGAUGAUGUAAGCCAUCAGCAUUAAUUCCAUUCUCCUGGAGAGA